UACGUAGGGUGCAAGCGUUGUCCGGAAUUAUUGGGCGUAAAGAGCUCGUAGGCGGUUUGUCGCGUCUGCUGUGAAAUCCCGAGGCUUAACCUCGGGCUGGCGGUGGAUACGGGCAGACUAGAGGUAGGUAGGGGAGAAUGGAAUUCCCGGUGUAGCGGUGAAAUGCGCAGAUAUCGGGAGGAACACCGGUGGCGAAGGCGGUUCUCUGGGCCUUACCUGACGCUGAGGAGCGAAAGCGUGGGGAGCGAACAGG
rnacentral:rRNA from 1 species